UGCAAUGCUCUCCCGCCUCCAUUCUGUGGGAGCAGCUAGGCGCUUUCGACCCGCAGUGCUUCAUCUCAUUAAUCCGGCGAGGUUUCUAUCGGACGCGACCAGCGGGAACUCCUCCUAUUCCGUCGAGGUAUACGCUUGCGACGCCUGCUGCCUAUCACGAUGCAAGGGCCUCGAUCCGAUGCCACGACUUCGCACCUGUAUGCAAAGACAACUGGCCACGGAUUUCGCCGCGCUGCUGAACAAGACGACAGCUGCGGCCGCAUUCAGAGAUCAGACAGGGUGUCCACACACGGCGACCCCCGGUCCCAAUGUUCUCGUGGGUGCCCGAAACGCGUGGAAAUCGCCACAGAAGAGGCCUCGCAAAGUCAUGUUGGUCGUGGAUCGGCCAACCCAUCAAAGGUGUCCCUUCUCACGCCAGCUUCAGCAACCAAGGCGGUGGUUGGCAGCAAUCGGAGCGAGCACGCAGCUGGCACAGCGUGUCAUCGCAGAUCUCUGCACCAGCCGCGGGUUCUCGAAGCCUGCGCCCAGCUCCUGACCAUCGCAGCAGUACUGAGCAGUCCUAGCCGCUGUUCCUGCAGUGGGACUUGGCGAGAGGGCGGCGUGCCUCGCUUCGAGUGCACCCACAGCUUUUGCCCCGCGGGUGGCGUCGACAAGUCCGCCGUCGUCGCCUUCGACGCGCUGCCCUCCUGCCCCGUGACCAGCCCCACCAGGGCUUCAACGCGCGGGGACUUCCAUUUUUGUGAGGCCAAGGAUUCCGUCGUUAUUCUGACUGGGGCGGAUUAAUGGUCACACAAAUGUUCAUAGUUUUCAAGCAGUACAAGGACGUCCCGGAUGUUCCAGGGGGUGGUAUAGGCUUCCAUAAAAUUGGUUCUGCAUACUGUGACCCUGAAGCCUUACUGUGCCCUCGCACUUUUGGCGAUGCCGUGCUGCUCGAGGGACCGGCGAAUGACGCAACUUGUCUGCAACUUGCGCCUUUUUUGCGUAGUUUUUUUUUUUCUGGUAUGCUCCUGCGGCAACUCCUACGAAGUUUGGCCCAUAUUGACGCGAGAUCUUGUGUUUUCCUGCUUUGCGCAAAUAUAUUGUUACUUACGCCA